rnacentral:rRNA from 1 species
AUGCCGCCGCCGGGGCUGGCGAACCGCUACUUCCUCGUGCGCGCUGGCGAGUCGGUGUACGAGGGGCAGGGACUCCUCCGGACCAACCCCGUCGCCAAGACCUCCGUCGACAGCGGUCUCUCCCCCGCCGGCCUCCGCCAGGCCGCGCGCGCCGCGCUCGAGCUCCGCCGCCUUGGUGCAUGCGAGGACGACUGCUGGAUAUGGCCCUCCAUCACCCAGCGCGCCUACCAGGCCGCCGAGAUCAUCGCUGCCGCCAACAGCAUCAACCGCAGUAAAAUCGUGCCGGAGUAUAGCUUCUUGGACGCGCGGGGGCUGGGUGCGUACGAGGGGAAGAAGUUAGAAGCAUUGCCAGAGGUGUAUGCGUCUGAUAAUAUUUCGCCGGACAUCAAACCACCUCCUACUUAUGAUGGUACACCUAACGAGAGCGUGGCGGAUGUAUUUGUUCGGGUAACACAGCUCAUGUCAAUACUAGAGACUCAGUACUCAGGGGAUACUGUUGUCAUCGUUUCACCAGAUUCUGACAACUUGUCAAUUCUUCAAGCUGGGUUGAUAGGACUGGACCUGCGGAGGCAUGACAGCCUGUUCUUUCAGCCGGGUGAGGUCCGAGCCGUUGAUCCUGCCAGUAUACCUGAAUAUAAGCAACCAGCCUCUAGUGUUUUUAAGUGUACAAACCCACCAAGUUGCAAAUAA